ensembl:lncRNA
CAUGAUUUGGCUAUGUUACAGCGAUCAUUUUUAUGAUGUAAAUGCAAAAUUUGGGUAGACCUGACAAGAAGUGUUUUUCGUUAGGCACGUUGUGACAGUUUAAAUAUGUUAUUUCGAGCAGGCGGUGAGACAGAUGAAAGCAGUGACAAUCAAGCAAAAUGAAUUUGUUGCAUGGAUCAAAGAGCGCGCACAAAACCAAUCCAGGAGCCCAUUCCAUCCCUCCUCUCAGGAAGCGGUGACUCGUUCAGGGUGACAUU